ensembl:ncRNA lncRNA:CR44042 long non-coding RNA:CR44042
GCCGCUUACACUGCCGCUCAACUGUUUGCGCCCUUCUGGCGUGAACAUUCUAAGAUAAGUACAUUUUCAAAAAGUGCGCAUUUAAAUUUUCGGUAAAAUUAAAAAAAAAAGUCGUUUGAUCCGAAAUUCGAGUGAGAAUAUCUGUGUGUUCAUAAAUUUUCAAAAUAUUCGUGGAUUAUGCCACGCUGCGCCGGGAGAGAUCUUUCGCCGAGGAGAAAAAAAAAAUUGAGGGAGUUUUUAUUACAAAAAAAAAAAUUAAUUGGAAAUGGCCCACGAAAUACACUGAAAAAAAUUACGAUAAGAUAUCAAUGUAAUAGCAAUGUAAUAAAACACGGUAAAAACCAACAUGCGCUGCGUCUUUGUCUCUAGAAUCUGUAUGCUGAAUCUCAACCUAGCUUUUAUGGUUCCAACAGGACUCGGUUAUUGAUUCUGAUCAAGAAUAUAUACUUUUCCAUACUUUUCCAUACUUUUCAACGAAUUUAGUAUACCCUUUUACUCUACGAGUAACGGGUAUAAUUAUAUACCCAAGUACAGACAGUCAUUUCUGUCAAGAAUUGGCCAAAGGAUAGAUACUGAAUGGAAAAAGAACAGACCCAAUACCGUUAACAACAGAAGACAGAAGUAUAUAGAAAAGAGAACCGAGGAACUAUGAGAACACCAAGAUUUUUAAAACACACCGUUAAGCACGGAAUAACUUUUGAAUAAAAGAAAGGACAAAAAGUCCAUAAAAAAUAAGUAGAAGGAAAAUUAAAGAUAGGCAGUUUAGUCAGUCGAAACAAAAAGAUAAAAAAACAAGCAAAUUAGCAAUUAACAAAUAUUAGUCACGCACUCAUUGUACUCAAUUUCCAUAAUAUUACACGAAAGAACAGGAUUAUAAGGAGUAAUAUAAAUUAAGGACUAGUAUGUAAGGAUUAAUAUAAUAUAAGGACUAGUAUAUAAGGAUUACUAUACUAAUGUUAAUAAUAAUAAUUAUACUUACUACGAACACCUAAUUACACUAG